rnacentral:rRNA from 1 species
UACGUAGGUGGCAAGCGUUGUCCGGAUUUACUGGGCGUAAAGGAUGCGUAGGUGGAUAUUUAAGUGAGAUGUGAAAUACCCGAGCUUAACUUGGGUGCUGCAUUUCAAACUGGAUAUCUAGAGUGCAGGAGAGGUAAGUGGAAUUCCUAGUGUAGCGGUGAAAUGCGUAGAGAUCGGCAGGAACACCCAGGGGGAAACCAGUCGACUGGGCAUCUACUGACGCUGAGGUGCGAGAGCGUGGGGAGCGAACCGG